UGUGGGGGUGCAGAGAAAAGGAAAGAAGCUGAUUUAGAGGGCACACCUACUAAGAAAAUACUCCAAAAAUGCUUGACAGUGAUUUCUUCCCUGGUUUCCAAUCCCCCCACGUGUUUCUACUUCAUUCUCAACUGUCGUUUAUCCUUCCCUCCCUUCCUCUUCGUGGAGGCGAGGUACGUGGAGGAAGCCCUCUUUUCAGUCACGACUGGGACUUGGUGAUAGCCAUCAUGCAAAGUAUUGAACACCGACAGGAGUGUAAAGCAUGUAAAUUGCGACGCCUACUGUUGCUUUCCUAUGGAGGAAAACUGUUGAGCGGAAAUGUUGGACGUGUGUGUGUGUGUGUGUGUGUGUGUGGGUGGGAAGGGAGCUGAUGAUGGGCCAGCCUGCAGCGCUGAAAAUUUGCAAAAAGCCAGAUUGGCACACACACACGCACAUCUGGCUCCACACUAGUCAAGCGUGUGUCCACCCUGAUUGGCCGAUUGAUUAAACAUCCAACACUGA